rnacentral:rRNA from 1 species
AUACGGAGGAUGCAAGCGUUAUCCGGAUUUAUUGGGUUUAAAGGGUGCGUAGGCGGUUUGCUAAGCGGGAGGUGAAAUGCCGGCGCUCAACGUCGGAAGUGCCUCCCGAACUGGUGGACUGGAAUGACUCUGCCGUGGGAGGAAUGUGUAGUGUAGCGGUGAAAUGCUUAGAGAUUACACAGAACACCGAUUGCGAAGGCAUCUCACGAAGGGUUGAUUGACGCUGAGGCACGAAAGCGUGGGGAUCAAACAGGAUUAGAUACCCUGGUUGUCCACGCAGUAAACGAUGAUGGCUAACCGCUGGUUUUUUCGGAUCAGUGGCCAAGCGAAAGCGAUAAGCCAUCCACCUGGGGAGUACGACCGCAAGGUUGAAACUCAAAUGAAUUGGCGGGG